CACAUAUAAACGAUGUCCAGAAUAUUUUGCAACACUCUCUACUCUUCUUCUCUCUCGCCGUUAACUCCAACUCGAACAAACACAUCGCGAUUCUCAAACAAACUCAGAGUUUGAGCUCAAUCCUAGACCAUGGACGAUAAUCUCCACCGGAAAUUCAUGGAUUACCCGUACGUGUCACCCACGCGCAGGCAGCUUAUGGUUGGUCUCAUGUCGACGCUGGACGAUCGCCUCCAAUCGCAUCUCCUUCCAUGUACCCUCCCACCUGUUGUACGAAACUUCAAGAACCCUAACCGUUCCGCCGAAGCAUCUAUUCAUAUCAGAUCCGGUGAUAAAACCUCUCCGGAAACAUUAUGGAAAUGGAUGAGGUUGGCUGCCGAGACUACCAAGAAGGGCGAGGUUUAGAUAAAUCAUCAUAUCAAUUGGGAAUUGGGAAUUCGUUUGAAAGCACUGUGCAGUUCCAUCUCCAACACUUAGUAGCCAUGCAGCGAAGUUUCCUUGUGAUUCUUGAAGUCUCAUGUUCUUUUUUAGGGAGAAAACUUUGCAAGAGUCCCACAAGUAUGAUUGUUUAAUUGAUGCUAAUACUGUAUCAGCUCGAGAACCUUGUGGAAUAACUGGUAGUGUUUGUCUGAAGUCCCCACCUAGUAUUACAGUCUUGCCUCCAAAAGGUUGGUCUUUAGCUUCUGAUUUUUUCAUGGACAUCAAGUCUCGUAAUUUUCUGUCAACCGCCUCAAAUGCGUACCGAUGUGCCAUGGGCGCCUCAUCCCAUAUGAUAAGAUCAGUUUUCUCUAUUAGUUCUGCUAACAUCGUUCCUGGCUUUAUAUGACAUAAUGAAUCUUCAUUGAGAUCCAUGGGAAAUUUAAAGCGUGAAUGUGCCGUUCUUCCUGCAGGUAGAAGCAAUGCUGCGAUGCCUGAUGAAGCGACUGGGAGAACAACUUUUCUUUCUGAUCUCAACUUAGAAAUGAUGGUCGAAUAAAGGCUCUUCAUACUGGUGAACUUCUAUUUUGCCUUUAAUCACACCGCUUGGUUGCUCAUCAGUUAUGUUGCUGAAGCUGUGAUCAUUGAUGAGGACCAGUUUUCCAAUAGCAUCUAGGUGGAUCAAAUUUAGAGUUAGAACAUGGUGAUAUUAUUACAAACAUAUAAGCACCGUAUAUUUACCAAAUAGGUCUUCGUUCAUGUCAACAGCUUCUUCAAAUUCUGCAAAAGAACGAAUCCUAAACUUUUGUCUUUCAAUCAGUUCGCCAGCAUCAAUAACCUCAUUCAGACUUGUUUGUUGGGUAAACUGGAUCAGAAACUUGUGUGGAGAUACCCUGUAGCUUUUUUUGUUGUUAGCUACCAAGAAAUUUUUAAUUGUGUAGACAACUCCAGGUUUGAGAUUUUCCUCGUAGUAGGCUACUCGGUUUGCCGUAAUGAAUGCUUGGAUCAAAGUUGACUGUACAAUAAAUUGUCAACUAUGAGAGUGUUUACUUAUGAGAAUAAUGAAACCUUUUU